GUCAGUUUCUUGAGCAUCUUUAAUUUUCUCAAUCAACACUGGCUCAAUUCUCAAACUAGUUAUGUACAUUCCUCAUUUAUGAACACCCUGUUGUAAUUCCUGUAGGGUCUCUAAAGUCUUGCAUUUAAAAGUUACUAGUUUUGCAAUCAUGCUAGAGGUGCUGCGACUUAGUGUAUUAGCCACUACAUUUCGUUUCCUUGGAUGGUAGGAUAUCUUGCAAUCAUAGUUCUUAAGA
rnacentral:lncRNA from 1 species